ACGUGUCAACAGUUUUCUGUCAGUCAAUGAAUGGAUAGGCGGAAAUUGUGGAUUUGUUCCGACGAGUUCGUAGGUUUCGAAGCAUGUAUCCGACACAUGGAUAAAACAAAAUUUAAAGAUCGAUCUUCGUCAUUUUCAUCAUUUUCGUAACCUGAAACUGAUAAGAUUUACUAGGUUACCAUGACACCCAAGUUAACGAACGCUCGAAGCAUAACAUUCCAACCGAGUUUCGUCGAUAUUCCCCAGAGUAAUUUUCUGCAAGGACAAAAGUGGUGUGCUAUGCCGGGGAACAUCUUCGUCAUUUCCGGGACGGUUAUACAAAGCCACGUGUAUCGAUCAGGUCAGGUCUCUCCUAUCUCUUACCGGGACUAGUAUUGGGGGUAGGGAAAACACGCCUAGCUGUAUGUGUACGCAGUCGAGGAUCGAAAAUCGAUCCAACCUGUCCACUCUUAAUGAAACACGACGUAUCAAACGUCUUACGCGGACUUGGAAUUGAGUGCGACGGUAUUAUCGCUAUCAGCUUCGUGAUCCGAUAGAAAAACGCGAUAAAAUGUGACACGGACAUUGCAGGGGAAUUAUUAUGCGGUAGAAUUUUUAAUUGAAAAAGAAUGAUAUCGGGCAGUUUGAAUUCAUUUUGCAACCAUCCUAGACGAAUUCCAUUGAAAGAGAGAAGCGAGAGGAACAGCAAAGACUAAAGGCGAACAAAAUAAAAGGAGAAAAAUAAGUGAUCUCGUUGGACCUACUAUAAGAUGGAGCUGUAUAGUGAGGUGGAAUGAGAGAAUCGAAAGACAGAAUCUGUUCGAAACGCGAAGCCGUACAACGCAUUUCCAGAUGUGACUAGAAGUAUCGUUUUCCUCCACAACACGAGCCACGAAGAUUGCUCUACAUUCCACCUUCCAUGGUAUCGUUUCUCUUUAUGUUACACGUAGGGAUUUAGGACAUUUCUUCUGCACCGGGCCGGCGUGGAUGCGGUGAACAAAGAGAUAUAAUGGUAACUAGACCUUUUUGUCCCGGCGGAAGUUAUAUUACAGAGGAAGAUCUUUGCUGCAUCGAAUCUCGCGGCGUUUUUAGGGGAUUGUAUGCAAAAAGAUAGAGAGUGUGCAGGACUCACCUGACGGGAAAACGCGGCCACCCUCACCUUCGCGAACGUGAGUUACCUGAUUCAACGUACAACUGGCGUAUUCGAGGUGCCGGCGGUUCCUUUUAUAACAGCGGGACUUGACGGCCCUGCGCGAAACGCCACGCAGUCUCUGUGAGCCGACUACAGGAACGUGUCUGCGUGGAUGCAGCCCCGCAUAUUUACACGAAAAAAAAUUAUUAAACGCAUGUUUAAGGGAUGGAAAAAUAUUGUGUUUGUAUGAUAUGGAAAGGUGUCCAAAUAACACGAACAAUAGAAAAUAUUUUUUAAAGACAAAGAAAAUCAAACCUCAUUGAUACUAUUCGAAUAAUUGAAAAUGUAAUUAUUUUACAACAGUAUGUAAUAGACACUGCAUUAUAAGUCAAAAUAAUGCUAAAUUGCUUGAAACCAGAUCUUACAAGUUCUAUGUGAUCUACUUUUUAUGGAGGCAGUACCUAAUCACACCUAUUCUGCAACAUUCGCAGUUCAUGGAAGUGCGCAAGGAAAUUGCACGUCGAAUUAAAAGCUCGCAAAAGAAAAUUGCAAAUAAACUUUUUGCAGUGAUUAACCGAAUACUGAAAUAAUUCUUCAUGUAACAAAAAAAAAACCAUAAUUUAAUAGUUAUCUCUCAUAAAAUAGCUGUGAUAAAUGAUACGAGUAAUCAAAUCAUUAAUCUGAGAAAAUCUUAUUUUAAUAUUAUUGCAAAUAUAUAAAAGAAUUUGAUAUUCUACAAAUGACAGACAAUUCUAUAUUUCACACAAGUUCUACGUUAUAAAAUAAACAUAACUCUUAAAUGAAUAAGAGAACUUACUUUUCCUGGAAUUAAUAUUUAACGAAACCAAUGGGCUUUAAAACUAGAUUUUUUAGGACUAGAUCAUAAACAAUAGCAAACGAUAACAUGACUUGGCUAAAUUAAUCAUCGAUCAAAUUCAGAAUCCAUAGAACCUUCUAACUAGAAAUAUCACGUAGCUUACAACUUAUACAGCCGAAAGCUAUUAGCCGAAAUGUUGCUGGCGACGAUGUGGUCACGUUUAGUUGCUAUAUACCCACUACAUGGAAUUUCAGGUAGUCGACUUGCAAGAGAAAUCGAUUAAUCAUUAUACGUCCAUGCGAGCUGUUUUAAUGAAAUGCUGAAUUUGCAACGAUUUAUACUCGAAGAAGGCUUUGGAAGAUAUUGAAUAAUUGUUGAGAGAAGGGUUUGAAAAGAAAGAUGGU